AAAAAAUAAAAAGAAUGAAAAUAAUGUGAUAGAAAGGAAAUUGAUCUUGUGUAAGCAAUACUCAGUUUUUAAAAGGUGAUCCUUUGAUAAUAAAGCAUCCAAACUAACUUAUACCAAAUUAUUUUGCCUUGUCGAGUAAUAAAAGUCAAACUGAUUGAAUUCAUGGCAAAUUCAUCAACAUUAGCUCCUAUCCAUGAAAAUAAAAUAUUUACUUCUCAAUCAAAGCCUGCUAAAAGUAA
rnacentral:lncRNA from 1 species